rnacentral:rRNA from 1 species
AUGUUACCCAGGACUAUGUACUGUACUAAUAUUCGGAAAAAUGUAUGCUUGUAUCUCUUUCAGGUCCGUGCUAGCUAUUUAUUUGAACAUUCCGAUAAUAUGUGCGAAAGGAUGAUGCCCAUAUUGACUAAUUUUCUCUCUUUUGUAGGUCAAAAAAAUGGUCUUGUGUGGGUUACAAACCAAUGCUUGCUUGCGUACACUCUGGUGCUCCAGUUAAAGAUCCAAAGCUAUAAUUCCUUUUUGGGGCAGAAACGCGUGCGCCGGAGCCAGGGAGCUCGGCUCCGCGCCACGCGCUCGCCCGGACCCCGCCUUCCUCCGCCGCCUCGCCACGCGCUCGCCCCGACCCCGCCUUCCUCCGCCGCCUCGCCACGCCGGCCGGCCUCACCGGAGAUCACCGCCGCCGCGACCAGGUCACGUGGCCGCCCCUGCCUUCUCCUCCUCCCUCACCUUCCUCCCUCCCUCUCACCAUCUCUCUCCCCCUCUCAUUGCAGUGCCACCAUGGCCGCCCCGAGCUUCGCCGGCAGCCGCGCCGCCCGCCUCCGGCCACGACUCCGACGGGAUCCGGCCGCCACUGCCCGGAUCCGCAUCCUCUGCUCCGCCGCGCCCCGGAUCCGGCCACCACCAAGCCUCCCGCGUCGAUCCUCCCAUCCGCCGGCCUCCCCCUGCUCGAUCUGGGUGGACGGGCGAAGUUUCUGA